AGUACUAAAGAUUUUGAGUCUUUGUGUGCAGGUUCAAGUCCUGUUUUUCUAA
rnacentral:tRNA from 1 species